rnacentral:rRNA from 1 species
UGAGUACGAGAUGCUACGGCAUCGAAGCAGUCUAUGUCAUACUUCCAAGAAAAGCUUGCACUGUCAGAAACAGAUAAUGCCUGUACCAUAACCGACACAGGUGGGUAGGUAGAGUAUACUAAGGGGCGCGAGAUAACUCUCUCUAAGGAACUCGGCAAAAUGACUCCGUAACUUCGGGAGAAGGAGUGCCUUAUUUAUAAGGUUGCAAUAACAAGAUCCAAGCAACUGUUUAUCAAAAACACAGGUCUCCGCUAAGUCGUAAGACGAUGUAUGGGGGCCGACGCCUGCCCAGUGCCAGAAGGUUAAAGAAGUUGGUUAGUGUAUGCGAAGCUGAUGACUGAAGCCCUGGUGAACGGCGGCCGUAACGAUAACGGUCCUAAGGUAGCGAAAUUCCUUGUCGGGUAAGUUCCGACCCGCACGAAAGGCGUAAUGAUUUGGAUACUGUCUCGGAGAGAGGCUCGGUGAAAUAGACUUGUCUGUGAAGAUGCGGACUACCUGCACCAGGACAAAAGACCCUAUGAAGCUUUACUGUAACUUGAAAUUGGAAUUGGACUUUGCUUGCGCAGUAUAGGUGGGAAGCGUUGAAGAUAUUCUUGCGGGAGUAUUGGAGCUAUCAGUGAGAUACCACUCUUGUAAUGUUAGAUUUCUAACUUUGAACCAUAAUCUGGUCAAAGAACAGUUUCAGGUGGGCAGUUUGACUGGGGCGGUCGCCUCCCAAAUGGUAACGGAGGCGUACAAAGGUUUCCUCUGAACGGAUAGAAAUCGUAUCUAGAGUGUAAAGGCAUAAGGAAGCUUGACUGUGAGACCUACAAGUCGAGCAGGGACGAAAGUCGGUCUUAGUGAUCUGACGGUACUGAGUGGAAAGGCCGUCACUCAACGGAUAAAAGUUACUCUAGGAUAACAGGCUGAUCUCCCCCAAGAGUUCACAUCGACGGGGAGGUUUGGCACCUCGAUGUCGGCUCAUCGCAUCCUGGGGCGGUAGUACGUCCCAAGGGUUGGGCUGUUCGCCCAUGAAAGCGGUACGCGAGCUGGGUUCAGAACGUCGUGAGACAGUUCGGUCCAUAUCCGGUGUAGGCGUUAGAAUAUUGAGAGGAGCCUUCUUUAGUACGAGAGGACCGAGAAGGACACACCGCUGGUGUACCAGUUAUCGUGCCAACGGUAAACGCUGGGUAGCUAUGUGUGGAGUGGAUAACCGCUGAAAGCAUCUAAGUGGGAAGCCCACCUCAAGAUGAGUAUUCUCACAGGGUUAACCUGGUAAGGUCACGGGAAGACCACCCGUUAAUAGGCACUAGGUGAAAGUCCAGUAAUGGAUGGAGCCAAGGUGUACUAACAGACCGAGGGCUUGACC